AACGCGAAGAACCUUACCAGGUCUUGACAUCCAAGAACCUUUACGAAAGUAGGGGGUGCCUUCGGGAGCUUUGAGACAGGUGGUGCAUGGUUGUCGUCAGCUCGUGUCGUGAGAUGUUGGGUUAAGUCCCGCAACGAGCGCAACCCUUGCUAUUAGUUGCUAACAUUUCGGAUGAGCACUCUAAUGGGACUGCCCGUGACAAGCGGGAGGAAGGUGGGGAUGACGUCAAAUCAUCAUGCCCUUUAUGAUCUGGGCUACACACGUGCUACAAUGGAUGGUACAGAGAGCAGCGAGGCCGCGAGGUGGAGCGAAUCUCAAAAAGCCAUUCUCAGUUCGGAUUGCAGUCUGCAACUCGACUGCAUGAAGUCGGAAUCGCUAGUAAUCGCGGAUCAGCACGUCGCGGUGAAUGCGUUCCCGGGUCUUGUACACACCG
rnacentral:rRNA from 1 species